GGAACACUACCAGCAUAGACAUAUAUUCUGUUUGGUGGCGCUGGCGUCGGAAAUGUAAGAUUUUCAUAGAUGCUCUUUUGUUUAAUUUUUUUAAAAAUGGCGGUGUUGGCAGAGUCGUAUCCCGGGUUGCAUAUAUCGUACAUAUUGCACGCCUCGGACUCGUAGCAGGAGAGGUUUAUCGGUCGAAAACGCAAUACGUAAUUAUGUCAGCUUCGGCCACUGCCACUAAUUUUACACAACACUUAUACCAUAGAUAUAUUGAACUAUUAUUUACCUAUACCGUAAUAAAAAAAAAAUGUCACUGAUAUUAAGAGGAUAUUCCGUCCAGCAAU